UACGUAGGGGGCUAGCGUUGUCCGGAAUCAUUGGGCGUAAAGCGCGUGUAGGCGGCUCGGUAAGUCUGCUGUGAAAGUCCAGGGCUCAACCCUGGGAUGCCGGUGGAUACUGUCGAGCUCGAGUCCGGAAGAGGCGAGUGGAAUUCCUGGUGUAGCGGUGAAAUGCGCAGAUAUCAGGAGGAACACCAAUGGCGAAGGCAGCUCGCUGGGACGUGACUGACGCUGAGACGCGAAAGCUAGGGGAGCAAACGGG
rnacentral:rRNA from 1 species